rnacentral:rRNA from 1 species
ACGGCUCAGUAACACGUAGUCAAUCUACCCUAUGGACGGGAAUAACCUCGGGAAACUGAGAAUAAUGCCCGAUAGAACACUAUGCCUGGAAUGGUUUGUGUUCCAAAUGAUUUAUCGCCGUAGGAUGGGACUGCGGCCUAUCAGUUUGUUGGUGAGGUAAUGGCCCACCAAGACUAUUACAGGUACGGGCUCUGAGAGGAGUGGCCCGGAGAUGGGUACUGAGACACGGACCCAGGCCCUAUGGGGCGCAGCAGGCGAGAAAACUUUGCAAUGUGCGAAAGCACGACAAGGUUAAUCCGAGUGGUUUCUGCUAAAGAAACCUUUUGUUAGUCCUAGAAACACUGAUGAAUAAGGGGUGGGCAAGUUCUGGUGUCAGCCGCCGCGGUAAAACCAGCACCUCAAGUGGUCAGGAUGAUUAUUGGGCCUAAAGCAUCCGUAGCCGGCUCUGUAAGUUUUCGGUUAAAUCUGUACGCUCAACGUACAGGCUGCCGGGAAUACUGCAGAGCUAGGGAGUGGGAGAGGUAGACGGUACUCGGUAGGAAGGGGUAAAAUCCUUUGAUCUAUUGAUGACCACCUGUGGCGAAGGCGGUCUACCAGAACACGUCCGACGGUGAGGGAUGAAAGCUGGGGGAGCAAACCGGAUUAGAUACCCGGGUAGUCCCAGCUGUAAACUAUGCAAACUCAGUGAUGCAUUGGCUUGUGGCCAAUGCAGUGCUGCAGGGAAGCCGUUAAGUUUGCCGCCUGGGAAGUACGUACGCAAGUAUGAAACUUAAAGGAAUUGGCGGGGGAGCAC